rnacentral:tRNA from 1 species
GUUUUAAUAAUUUAAUAAAAAUAUUGGUCUUGUAAACCAAACUUAAGACUAUCUUUUAAAACU